AGCUGCGCAGGCGCGGCCCCGCCCCUGAAUGGGGGCGGGGCUGCGAGUAUGGAGCAUGCGCAGUGGCCUCGCUGGGGGAUCCCGUAGAGGUUUGGCGUGUGGCCUGCGGGUUCCCCGGGCGGGUCGACGUGCGCUCCUCUCUGGUCUCGAGUCACCAGGACCAGAUCGAGGAUGCGGCCGACCCCCUGCCCGAUGUGGAAAGCGAAGUCUCCACCUCGUGAUUGGGUCUCUGCUGUCAGAGAGCUUCACGAGCUUGAGGGGAAACAGACAGAGAGGUCUGGGCAUUGGGCAGUUUCCCGCCUCCCAGCCCCGCGCACUGAACAGACUGUGACCAGAACUGCGAACAAAGCGCGGAGGGAAGCUCUUAAAGGAGGCCAAAGCGGCCGGGCGCUGUGGCUCACACCUGUAACCCCAGCCUGUAAGCCUAGCUACUCGGGAGGCCGAGGCAGAAGGAGCGCUUGAAGCCAGGAGUUGGAAGCUGCAGUAAUCCGUGAUCGGACCGUUGCACUCUAGCCUGGGCAACAUAACGUCCUUUGAAAAAAAAAAAAAAAACAGAGGCCAAAACGGGUAGCAGUGGUGCCCGGGCACCAAGGAUGGAAGGCCUCUCUGAGGAGGUGAUGCCGAGCUGAAGCUGGGAAGCGGAUGUGAGGGAAGAGUUCCAGGCAGAGGGAAGGCAAAUGCAGAGAUCCUCAGGCAGGAACACUGAACUGUUCUCCGUAUUUGAGGAGCAGAGGGCGUGUCAGUGGUGGCCGCAGCAGCUGAGCAAAGGUCUUAGAAUCCCAGCUAAUGUCGUGGGACCUAGCACCCAAUCCCAAAAGAAAGAAGAAUAGAUAGGAACCCACUGUUGACAAGAAGGUGCACUGAGAAGUGUUUUUAUCUGACCCGAUCUGCAUCCAGUUUAGAAGCCGAUACAUCAGGGAUUUAACAAUCUGUCUUAAUGUCUAGCAAGGGGGGUUGCUGGAGGGAAAACACAGAGUCAGAGUUCUAUCUUCAGCCCUGCCAGCAGGUCCCUGGGAGAUGCUAGACGAGUGACUUUUCUCUGGGCGUGGUUGGUGUAAGGGAUGCACACGCAGGAGGAAGGUCGGAGUGUAAAUGUGUGACCUGGGCCUGUUACUGGGUAUAAAUGGGCCUGUAGUGACCGGGAGCUCAUGUUCUACCAAAGGGGUUGCCAAUUUUCUGAUUUCGAGUGUGGCGGUGUAAAAGAGAAAAGCAACUGCUGCCAGCUGGGAGCUGGUUUGCACCCUCACUCCAGAAGCCUUGAUGUUGCUAGGAGCUGACCUGGCACCAACAGCACGGCCAUGGUGGUGUCCUGUUGAGCAAAAUAAUUUCACAAAAAACAUCAGACAAGGUCACUCUCUGACUGAUCUAGAAAAAGACCAUUCCAUAAUAAAGCCUCAAUACAGAAACAAGAACAUUGUCCAAACCACAAAAAUUACCAACACAAUCCUCUCUCCCACAGCGCUGGAGUGCAGUGAUGCAAUCUUGGCUUACCACAACCUCCACCUCCAGGUUCAAGCGAUUCUCCUGCCUCAGCUUCCAGAGUAUCUGGGAUUACAGGCACCCACCAUCAUGCCCAGAUCAUUUCUGUAUUUUUAGUAGAGACGGGGAUUCACCAAGUUGCCCAGGUGCUUCCUGGUGGUCCUUGGUUGGAGGGUACUAUCAGAAAUGGAGGAGCAACAAAGAUUCAGCUGAAGCCCUCACUGCCUGGGACUGGGACCCUUGACUCGUCAUUGUAUGCACACCUGAAACUGCUUAUGUCGCUGAGGUGCCAACCUGCUGAUGGUUGGAAGCUAAUUGAGUUCUGAUAUUGUGUUGAUACCCUUAAGCAUUGGGUUUACUUUUUAUUUUAAUUAAUUAAUUAAUUAAUUUUUGAGACAGAGUUUCACUCUUGUUGCCCAGGCUGAAGUGCAAUGACACGAUCUCGGCUCACCGCAACCUCCGCCUCCUGGGUUCAAGCAGUUCUUCUGCCUCAGCCUCUUGAGUAGCUGGGAUUACAGGCAUGCACCACCACACCUGGCUAAUUUUAUAUUUGUAGUAGAGACAGUUUCUCCAUGUUUGUCAGGCUGGUCUCAAACUCCUGACCUCAGGUGAUCCACCCGCCUCGGCCUCCCAAAGUGCUAGGAUUACAGGCGUGAGCCACCAUGCCUGGCCAUAUUUUUUAUUUUUCAUUUUUUACUUUUUGAGAUAGGGUCUCACUCUGUUGACCAGGCUGGAGUGCAGUGGUACGACUCAGCUCACUGCAACCUCUGCUUCCCAGCUCAAGUGAUUCUCCAGUUUCAGCCUCCUGAGUAGCUGGCACUAAAAUUAACCAAUGCCGGUUAAUUUUUUUUUUUUUUUUUGGCGGGGGACAGAGUCUCGCUCUGUCUCCCAGAGUGGAGUGCAGUGGCGCUAUCUCUGCUCCCUGCAAGCUCUGCCUCCCGGGUUCAAGCAAUUCUCCUGCCUCAGCCUUCUGAGUAGCUAGGGUUACAGGCAUGCGCCACCACACCUGGCUAAGUUUUGUAUUUUUAGCAAAGAUGGGGUUUCUCCAUGUUGGUCAGGCUGGUCUCAAACUCCUGACCCCAUGAUCUGCUCACCUUGGCCUCCCAAAGUUCUGGGAUUACAGGCAUGAGCCACCACACCCAGGAAUGCCGGUUAAGUUUUAUAUAUAUAUUUUUUUGUAGAGAUAGGGUUUCACUCUGUUACCCAGGCUGGUCUCAAACUCCUGAGCUCAAAGCAAUCCUCCCACCUUGGCUUCCCAAAGUGCUGGGAUUAUAGAUGUGAGCCACCAUGCCCUGCCAAGCAUUGGGUUUAUUUGGUUUUUCAGUUUUUUUACUCCUGGAAUAAGGCCCCCACACUGGAUUUUUGGUUAUCUGAUCAAAUAUUUAUUUUGUCCUUGGUGCAAUUGUUUUCUGUCCUUCUACACUCAUUCCUAUGGUGUUUUCUUGUCUAGUAUUUUGAAUAUUGUUUGUCUAUAAGAGGCAAAGUCGAUAUAAAAAGGAUGGAUGUAGGCUGGGCGCGGUGGCUCAGGCCUGUAAUCCCAGCAACUUUGGGAGGCUGAGGUGGGUGGAUCACCUGAGAUCAGGAGUUCAAGACCAGCCUGGCCAAAAUGGUGAAACCCCGACUACUAAAAAUGCAAAAAAUUAGCUGGGUGUGGUGGCAGGUGCCUGUAAUCCCAGCUACUUGGGAGGCCAAGGCAGGAGAAUCGCUUGAACUUGGGAGGCAGAGGUUGCAGUGAGCCGAGUUCGUGCCAUGGCACUCCAGCCUGGGCGACAGAGAAAAAAAAAAAAAAGUCUCUGUCUCAAAAAAAAAAAAAAAAGAAAAGAAAAGGAUGGAUGUGUAGCCUCGGAUGUCUAAGGGCAUCACAAACCUAUUAUUGCUGAAUCUCUGGUGACCGAACACAACUUAUCCCUCUAGGAAGGUAGGGAUGCCAACUGUUGAGGGGUUGUGCAACUAGUUAGCAUCCGAGAGUCUUAUUUGUUAUCAGAAUUAACCAGAGAAAUCACUCCAGCAACCAAGAGCCAGUAAGUGUGUCCUACAACCAGCUCCAGAGACUGUACAAUUCGGAAGGUAUUCUCAGACUAAUGUCCUUUGGGUAAACUUUGCCCAGGUCACCAUUUCUUUUUUGUUUUUGUUUUUUGAGACAGAGUUUUACUCUUGUUGCCUGCUGAAGUGCAAUAGGACAAUCUCAGCUCAGCUGCAACCUCCACUUCCCGGGUUCAAGUGAUUCUCAUGCCUCAGCCUCCUGAGUAGCUGGGAUUACAGGUGCCUGCUACCAUGUCCGGCUAAUUUUUGUAUUUUUGAUAGAGACAGGGUUUCACCAUGUUGGCCAGGUUAGUCUCGAACUCCUGACCUCAGGUGAUCCACCCACCUCUGGCUCCCAAAGUGUUGGGAUUACAGGCAUGAGCCACCACGCCCAGCCCCAGGUCACCAUUUCAAAGCCUUGAAAAGGAUUUCUUUGGUUUUGUCUAUGUCCUUGCAAACUGCUUUGUUUCAUUUCUUCUGCUCAGUAUCAGGGGGCUUUCUCUGGCCUCUGAUCAGCGAUGGUGUUUGGCCACAUUCUAGAGAUACGAAGUUGUAUAAGCACCAUUCUUUUAGACCCCAGUCACAACUAAAAUUGGGCCAAAGACCUGCUCCCUUCAUGUUUUCUCACGAUUGCAAUAACAUGUACCCAUAUAUCUGUAACUGACACAAUUUCACCAGGGACAGUUUGUAAUUGCCGUAGCCAUUUGGUGGAACUUUUGAUAAUAACAAGAUUGUUCAUUUGGGAGGUGCCUCAGAACACAAAGGGAAGAAACCUUUGUGAGAUUGUUUGCCUUGUUUGUUAAAAACAAAGAUUAUUUUGUUUAACAUAGGCAAUAUUUCAUUUACCUAUUUUGCAUAUUAAUAAAUGCUGUCGGCCAGGCACAGUGGCUGACACCUGUAAUCCCAGCACUUUGGGAGGCUGAGGCGGGCGAAUCAC